UUCUACACUUCUGAUUGGCUAACAUUUCUACACGGUUAGGAAUAUAUCGCCACCUGUUGCUUUGGCAUGUUCCUAGCAGCGUUUUCCUUCAUUUCUGCGUGUACGUGGGGACGGGAUUAUUUUUAAAACGAAAGCGGAAAAGUUCUGGUGACAACAGUUGUAAGUGAAAGAUUACAAUUAUGGCAAUAAGAUUGAAUAUUGAACUGGAGGUUGAUUUAGUUCUUUCUUUCCUGUUCUGUUUAAACAUAGCCCUGUUCAGGACACUACCAACUCUCUUCCCAUCAUGAGCUGCACCACCCAAGAAGAUGGGACAUGCCAGUGAAGCACUGAUUCUUGUCCUUCAGAAGAUCCAGCGUCAGCCCUGUUCUGCUCUUUGAAGGGUCCCGCUGUCCUUUUGCAGUUGGUUCCACUCCCAUCACCACAUUUGCCACAGAUGUCCUUGGAGAAGGUUUGCUGUAUCUUAUGGCAUACUACUACACCCUGCAUCUCACCUAUCCUAAAUGUGUGGCAACGCUUCUGUCAUUCAGACUGAAGUGUUAAAGGACAAUAUCCAUGAGCAAGACACCACAGGCUCAUACAAAAAAAUCAUGGCAGGCUGUAGGAAUUUUUAUUGAAACGUAGAGCUGUUUGAGCAAGAUGUAACUUAGGUCUGUGUUGGAAGGUUUGGACCUGAUAGCUUUGAAGUUGCAAUUUACACUUGAAUUCUUUUUUUUAUUCUUAUUAAUGUAAUACAAAGUACUUUCUUUCUUUAAACACAUCUGUUCUGCAGAUUCUGUUUAAAAUUGCAAAUGCUCUUUUUAUUACAUUUUAUAUGUUGAGUAGUUAACUGGUUUAGCAGUUCUAAAAGGAACACAAAAUAACAAUGUUACACUUACAAUGUGUCUUUAGAUUUUUGUGUACUAUGAUUGACUGAAGUAUUUGUUACUGUUUGGAGAGUUUGUUUCCAAUAAAGGUCAUGUACACAGUA